AAUACCUUUAAUUUAGUCCAGAGAGAUUAGAAAGGUUAAAUAAUCGUAGUAUUUUACUGCUAAAUAGUUGAUAACUAGGGAUAUUAUAACCUUCUGCCGGUCUGCAGAAGGUUUUUUUGU
rfam:Clostridium homopropionicum DSM 5847 CLHOM_contig000060, whole genome shotgun sequence.